AAUGGCAGGUCAGCAUACUGCCGUGAAUACGUUCCCGGGCCUUGUACACACCGCCCGUCACACCAUGAGAGUUGGGAAUACCCGAAGCCUGUGAGCUAACGUAAGAGGCAGCAGUCGAAGGUAGAAUCAAUGAUUGGGGUGAAGUCGUAACAAGGUAUC
rnacentral:rRNA from 1 species